rnacentral:rRNA from 1 species
GAUGAACGCUAGCGGCAGGCUUAAUACAUGCAAGUCGAGGGGCAGCAUGAGUAGCAAUACUUGAUGGCGACCGGCAAACGGGUGCGGAACACGUACGCAACCUUCCUUUAAGUGGAGAAUAGCCCGGGGAAACCCGGAUUAAUACUCCGUAACAUUAUGAUGUGGCAUCACUUUAUAAUUAUAGAUUUAUCGCUUAAAGAUGGGCGUGCGCCUGAUUAGAUAGUCGGCGGGGUAACGGCCCACCAAGCCUUCGAUCAGUAACUGGUGUGAGAGCACGACCAGUCACACGGGCACUGAGACACGGGCCCGACUCCUACGGGAGGCAGCAGUAAGGAAUAUUGGUCAAUGGACGCAAGUCUGAACCAGCCAUGCCGCGUGGAGGAUGAAGGUCCUCUGGAUUGUAAACUUCUUUUAUUUGGGACGAAAAAAGAUCAUUCCUGAUCACUUGACGGUACCAGAUGAAUAAGCACCGGCUAACUCCGUGCCAGCCGCCGCAGUAAAAC